AGUGAACGCUGGCGGCAUGCUCAACACAUGCAAGUCGCACGCCCCGCAAGGGGAGUGGCGGACGGGUGAGUAACGCGUAGGAAUGUGUCCAGAGGUGGGGGACAACCCCGGGAAACUGGGGCUAAUACCGCAUAUGUCCUGAGGGACAAAGCAGUGAUGCGCCUUUGGAGCAGCCUGCGUCCGAUUAGGUAGUUGGUGGGGUAAUGGCCUACCAAGCCUGCGAUCGGUAGCUGGUCUGAGAGGAUGAUCAGCCACACUGGGACUGAGACACGGCCCAGACUCCUACGGGAGGCAGCAGUGGGGAAUAUUGGACAAUGGACGAAAGUCUGAUGGAGCGACGCCGCGUGCAGGACGAAGGCCUUCGGGUUGUAAACUGCUUUUCUAUGGGAAGAAUUUCGAUGACGGUACCAUAGGAAUAAGAGGUUACUAACUCUGUGCCAGCAGCCGCCGUAACAC
rnacentral:rRNA from 1 species